UGAUGUUAGCGGCGGACGGGUGAGUAACACGUGGGUAACCUGCCUGUAAGACUGGGAUAACUCCGGGAAACCGGGGCUAAUACCGGAUGGUUGUUUGAACCGCAUGGUUCAGACAUAAAAGGUGGCUUCGGCUACCACUUACAGAUGGACCCGCGGCGCAUUAGCUAGUUGGUGAGGUAACGGCUCACCAAGGCGACGAUGCGUAGCCGACCUGAGAGGGUGAUCGGCCACACUGGGACUGAGACACGGCCCAGACUCCUACGGGAGGCAGCAGUAGGGAAUCUUCCGCAAUGGACGAAAGUCUGACGGAGCAACGCCGCGUGAGUGAUGAAGGUUUUCGGAUCGUAAAGCUCUGUUGUUAGGGAAGAACAAGUGCCGUUCAAAUAGGGCGGCACCUUGACGGUACCUAACCAGAAAGCCACGGCUAACUACGUGCCAGCAGCCGCGGUAAUACGUAGGUGGCAAGCGUUGUCCGGAAUUAUUGGGCGUAAAGGGCUCGCAGGCGGUUUCUUAAGUCUGAUGUGAAAGCCCCCGGCUCAACCGGGGAGGGUCAUUGGAAACUGGGGAACUUGAGUGCAGAAGAGGAGAGUGGAAUUCCACGUGUAGCGGUGAAA
rnacentral:rRNA from 1 species